CAGUUAUAAAACUUUUUCAAGGUGAAGUAUAGGAGCAUUAGAACCACCUUAUAUAAAAGUCGUGUUUCUGGUAAGAUUGUAGCACUGUUUUUAAGCUUUAAAAAAAAGUACCUUUGGUAUAAUGGCCUCUUAAGAGAGUUUGUGCUAUGGCAUAUUUCCCGAAAUAAAAAGAUUUUUAAGAAAGAAAACCGAGGUACUCGAUGCACGAGUUCUUGAAUAAACUUUGUUAAAGAUGUGAUAUGCAACUACGGGUUUUAAGAUAGCUGGUUGAUUGACAAAUGCUUUUAAGUGCAGCUUUAGUAGAAUGGGGGCGUGGUUAUUAUUCACGCAGCUAUGUGCUAAAGGUGAUAAAUCUGGCUAAAGGUUGGGUUUAACGUAAGCUUUCUAAGUUAUUUAUUUUUUAGUAAGAGAAAUUGGGUUUAUGCUGCCCAUUUUGUUACAAGUAUUUAACAACUUGUCUUGCUUUGUACAAAAAUAAUAAUUCAACUGAGAAGAGGUUUAAAAAUCUUUCAUCUAUUUAAGAUAAUUAUAAAUUAAUUAUUAUGUUAGGAUUAGUAAU
rnacentral:rRNA from 1 species